rnacentral:rRNA from 1 species
AGUGAACGCUGGCGGUAGGCCUAACACAUGCAAGUCGAACGGCAGCACAGUAAGAGCUUGCUCUUACGGGUGGCGAGUGGCGGACGGGUGGGGAAUACAUCGGAAUCUACUUUUUCGUGGGGGAUAACGUAGGGAAACUUACGCUAAUACCGCAUACGACCUACGGGUGAAAGCAGGGGAUCUUCGGACCUUGCGCGAUUGAAUGAGCCGAUGUCGGAUUAGCUAGUUGGCGGGGUAAAGGCCCACCAAGGCGACGAUCCGUAGCUGGUCUGAGAGGAUGAUCAGCCACACUGGAACUGAGACACGGUCCAGACUCCUACGGGAGGCAGCAGUGGGGAAUAUUGGACAAUGGGCGGAAGCCUGAUCCAGCCAUACCGCGUGGGUGAAGAAGGCCUUCGGGUUGUAAAGCCCUUUUGUUGGGAAAGAAAAGCAGCAGGUUAAUACCCCGCUGUUCUGACGGUACCCAAAGAAUAAGCACCGGCUAACUUCGUG